GAUGAACGCUGGCGGCGUGCCUAAUACAUGCAAGCCGAGCGAACAGACGAGGAGCUUGCUCCUCUGACGUUAGCGGCGGACGGGUGAGUAACACGUGGAUAACCUACCUAUAAGACUGGGAUAACUUCGGGAAACCGGAGCUAAUGCCGGAUAAUAUAUUGAACCGCAUGGUUCAAUAGUGAAAGACGGUUUUGCUGUCACUUAUAGAUGGAUCCGCGCCGCAUUAGCUAGUUGGUAAGGUAACGGCUUACCAAGGCAACGAUGCGUAGCCGACCUGAGAGGGUGAUCGGCCACACUGGAACUGAGACACGGUCCAGACUCCUACGGGAGGCAGCAGUAGGGAAUCUUCCGCAAUGGGCGAAAGCCUGACGGAGCAACGCCGCGUGAGUGAUGAAGGUCUUCGGAUCGUAAAACUCUGUUAUUAGGGAAGAACAAAUGUGUAAGUAACUAUGCACGUCUUGACGGUACCUAAUCAGAAAGCCACGGCUAACUACGUG
rnacentral:rRNA from 1 species